rnacentral:rRNA from 1 species
UGCCCUAUGNNNANNNNNNUUUAAAUGGCUGCGGUACACUGACCGUGCAAAGGUAGCAUAAUAAUUAGUUUCUUAAUUAGGAACUGGAAUGAAUGGUUUGACGAAAAAAAUACUGUCUCAAUUUAAAUUAUAUUAAAACUUUAUUUUUAAGUUAAAAAGCUUAAAUAUAUUUAAAAGACGAGAAGACCCUAUAGAGUUUUAUAU